rnacentral:rRNA from 1 species
UACAGAGGUGGCAAGCGUUGUUCGGAAUUACUGGGCGUAAAGGGCGCGUAGGCGGUCUUGUAAGUCUCGUGUGAAAUCCCUCGGCUUAACUGAGGAACUGCACGGGAUACUGCAUGACUUGAGGUCGGGAGAGGGAAGCGGAAUUCCGGGUGUAGCGGUGAAAUGCGUAGAUAUCCGGAGGAACACCGGUGGCGAAGGCGGCUUCCUGGACCGACUCUGACGCUGAGGCGCGAAAGCUAGGGGAGCAAACAGG